UACGUAGGUGGCAAGCGUUAUCCGGAAUUUAUUGGGCGUAAAGCGCGCGCAGGCGGUUUCUUAAGUCUGAUGUGAAAGCCCACGGCUCAACCGUGGAGGGUCAUUUGGAAAACUGGGGGAAACUUGAGUGCAGAAAGAGAAAAAAGCGGAAUUCCACGUGUAGGCGGUGAAAUGCGUAGAGAUGUGGAGGAACACCAGUGGCGAAAGGCGGCUUUUUGGU
rnacentral:rRNA from 1 species